UCCACGAUGGCUGCAAUGCCCCACAGCUGGUGACCCACUCCACUUCACCAGCUCGCCCGACUUUGGGGUGCCCUUCACCCCCAUUGGGAUGCUGAAGUUUCUGAAAGAAGUGAAAACCCUGGAUCCUUUCUGCUGUUCACUGCAGAAAAAAAAAUCAUUUCAGUCCUCCAAAUUUGAUCCGUCUAUGUUGCUUGAAGGUAAACUGAGUUCUAAAGAAGUUGGAGGAGGCUUAAAUUACCAGCCUGGAAGGCCCAAAGACAACACAGUUGGAGACCUACUGUGAACUACAAAGAUUUGGGAUCAUAUGCUACCAUCUGGACCAGAUUAUUAAGAUCCAGGCCAUGGUUCUGAAGCUGUAAGAUGAAGUCUGGGAUUUCUGGUCUUAUAUUCAGUUACUCCUUCAUGGAGCCGUUAUGUUGCUUAUUGUCUUUUGUUGUUAUGGCUGCUGUUGUUUUGGCUGUCUUUCUGUGUUCUUCUUUACCUCCUCCCUUUCUGCAUCUGCAAGGCUUCUCACAUUGCCAAGGUCAAAGUGAUCCAGUAAUAGUGCUGGAAGACAUUUUAAUAGUAGAAGAUCCUCAGUGUGCCAAAGUCACAUAGAAACUAUUAAACUACAUGCUGUGGGCCACAUAAUGACUUAGACAAUCACAUAUUAACAUUAUCUGUGUUCUGUUGUAUCUUUAAUUAUUUUGUUAAUGAUUUCCCAAUUGCAUUUUAAUCUGUUUCUGUCCAACUUGGGAAUGCCAUGGGCUAUAAUGCAGACCUGCAGGGUAACAUAUUUGACAUUUCUGCUUUAGAAGACCUUUAGGACUCUGCCACUAAGGAAUGGGAUGUAGUGAGGGCAAUGGCAUAAGGCCUGUCCCCAUUUCCUUAGAAGGUAUCAAAAGCAUCCUUGAAAUCUAAGGCAUCUCCAAAGGUGUCAUGAUGGAA